GGUCAGACCAGGAAGACAGAGGCCAAACCCAGCAUCACACUUUGACCUGCCCGGGAACACAGUGGGUAAGAGAAGAAAACAUGGAGAAUUAUUUUACAGCUGUGAUGUUGUCAAUUGUACAAUAUCUACUCCAAUUUCCUCCCAUCUUUGAGAUGACUGAUAAGAAUGCCUUAUGUGUCACACAGGAUCAUAACACAAACUUUCUUCUCUUUCCUGAUGCCCCUCUCAAAUUUACUCAGUAGGGGGAACUUCACCUUCUCCUAUCUCCUGGGAAAUAACCACUAAAGUCUUGAAAUGUCUUGAGUGAUUGGAGGACCUUUAUUUUUCACGCCUGAUGCCUUAUGCUGAUGAGAUGACUCAGCAGGGGAUGGCCAGGCCAGAAAGACCAAAACUGUAUCCUGAGGUUUGAGUUUCUGAGCCAGGUGAUGUCAUCCUCCAGCUUGGCCGGCCUCUUUCUGGGAGCCUCUGGUGUGAAAGAGAGCAGUGCUUGCCUUUCCCAUGUCUAGGAGUUUGCCUAAAUCUUCAAAGAUAUGUGAGGCUUGCCUAGAACAUCAUCAUCAGGAAUGCUGGUCCUUCAAUUUGUUUUUUGAAUUGAAGUGUAGUUUACAGUGAUCAAGUUGAAAAUAAGGCUCUGCAUGAAAGCUAACUAUUAAAAGGGUGUGGGCACAGGAGCAACCAACACAGACCCCACAGAAUCCCAAACCUAUGCUAAGAGGGAGCACUUCCAUCCCUCCAAACCUGUGCUAAGAGGGACACCUCCAUCCUUCUAAGCCUGUGCUAAGAGGGAACACCUCCAUCCUUCCAAACCUGUGAUAGGAGGGAGCAUCUCCAUCCUUCUGAACCUGUGCUAAGAGGAAACACCUCCAUCCUUCCAAACCUGUGAUAGGAGGGAGCACCUCCAUCCUUCCGAACCUGUGCUAAGAGGGACACCUCCAUCCUUCCAAGCCUGUGCUAAGAGGGAGCACCUCCAUCCUUCCAAACCUGUGAUAGGAGGGAGCACCUCCAUCCUUCCAAGCCUGUGCUAAGAGGGAGCACCUCCAUCCUUCCAAACCUGUGAUAGGAGGGAGCACCUCCAUCCUUCCGAACCUGUGCUAAGAGGGACACCUCCAUCCUUCCAAGCCUGUGCUAAGAAGGAGCACCUCCAUCCUUCCAUCUGGCAACCCCACAUCUUUCUGUGCAGCAUUGGCUCAUGGAGUUUUGCACAAUCUGUUGCCUUAAUGCAGCUGUGAGGUGGUAAACCCCAUGCCAUUGCACAGCUGUGCUGGUGGAGUCUUCAACAACAGAGGGAUGAAACGAGAGUGCUGAGUGAUGGGUGGAGUGUGCUCACAGAAGCCAGCUGUGCUUGCCCCACUCCCACCCAAAAUGUUUACCCACGUGGGAAAUGCCUGCCCUGCAUAGGAGUACCCAAGGAACCCAGGAUAUAAAGAAACUUCUAAAAUGGAUCUGAAAGGGGGAAGAGCCCUCCCCUGUAAGGAAGCGAGAGAGAUUUAUUAAAAAUCAUCAACUUCAAAUUAUUUGGAUGGAAACAUUGCCAAAUCAUAGAGAUGUUUGCUACCACCCGCACACCAAGCAGCUGGGUAACUAGAAGUGCAGGAUCAGCUUAUUCACCUCCGAAAGCCUGCAUGCAACCACUGAGGCCGCCUCUAUUUUUUACAUAGUUCUACUUGGUGUAUGUAACCCCACAGAGAAACCUGGAAGAAUGCAUGAAACCUAGUAAGGCAACCAGCACAUGCAACAGAAUGAACCGUUUCUUUCCAUCUGAAUGCCUAAAUGUGGACUCUGAUCCUUUCUACCAAGUCCUAAGUUUGGGAAAAGAGGACAAGGACAGGGGCUCUGUCCCAUAUCAUAAUGUGCUUGUGAAUGGCUAAAAUUACAAUGCUGAGAUAAGUGUGUGUAAUAAAAUAAUUGCACCCC
rnacentral:lncRNA from 1 species